GAGGCUUUGCGGUGGUUGCUUGGCUUGGCGGUGGCCGCUUGGCUUGGCGGUGGUCGCUUGGCUUGGAGUGGCAGUGAUCGCUUGGCUUGGCAUUUCUGGCUUGGCAGUGCUCCUUUCGCAGAUUGGAAACCGCAGGCUAUCCUGCUGGGAGGUUGUGGCCGAGGUAGUAGCUCGCUACUGAUGGCCUCCUGGGGUGGAGAAAAGCGGGGAGGGGCUGAGGGGUCUCCGAAGCCGGCAGUCUCCGCCAUGAGGAAGACCCCUAGUGUCGGGAGCCAGGAGGACCAGUGGUACUUGGGCUACCCGGGGGACCAGUGGUCCUCAGGCUUCUCCUCCAGCUGGUGGAAAAACAGCGCUGGCAGCGAGAGCAAGCACGAUGAGGGCGCCUUAGACCAGCCCCAGCACGACGUCCGCCUGGAAGAUCUUGGCGAGCUCCACAGAGCUGCCCGGUCGGGCGACGUCCCUGGAGUGGAGCGCGUCUUGGCUCCUGGAGACACUGGCGUGGACAAGAGGGAUAGGAAGAAGAGCAUUCAGCAACUAGUUCCUGAAUAUAAGGAAAAACAGACACCUAAAAAUCUUCCUCAAAAUAACAAUCCAGAUUGGCAUCCUACUAAUUUGACCCUUAGUGAUGAGACUUGUCAGAGAUCCAAGAAUCUGAAAGUUGAUGAUAAAUGUCCAUCUGUAUCACCAUCAAUGCCUGAAAAUCAGUCAGCAACCAAAGAAUUGGGACAGAUGAACUUAACAGAACGAGAAAAGAUGAACAUUAGAGUUGUACUUCUCUCAGGGAAUGAUACUCUCCAUGACCUGUGCCAAUCACAGCUACCAGAAAACAAAGAGAGGAAAGAAGCAGAACAAGACUUGGAGCUGACAUCAGAGGAAGAGCAAGAAAGACUUAAAGGAUGUGAAAAUAAGCAGCCACAGGACAAAGCUAUUUUUAAAACAUGUAGCCCAACAGAGAAGACAC
rnacentral:sRNA from 1 species